GAUGAACGCUGGCGGCGUGCCUAAUACAUGCAAGUCGAGCGAACGGAUGAGAAGCUUGCUUCUCUGAUGUUAGCGGCGGACGGGUGAGCAACACGUGGAUAACCUACCUAUAAGACUGGGAUAACUUCGGGAAACCGGAGCUAAUACCGGAUAAUAUUUUGAACCGCAUGGUUCAAAAGUGAAAGACGGUCUUGCUGUCACUUAUAGAUGGAUCCGCGCUGCAUUAGCUAGUUGGUAAGGUAACGGCUUACCAAGGCAACGAUGCAUAGCCGACCUGAGAGGGUGAUCGGCCACACUGGAACUGAGACACGGUCCAGACUCCUACGGGAGGCAGCAGUAGGGAAUCUUCCGCAAUGGGCGAAAGCCUGACGGAGCAACGCCGCGUGAGUGAUGAAGGUCUUCGGAUCGUAAAACUCUGUUAUUAGGGAAGAACAUAUGUGUAAGUAACUGUGCACAUCUUGACGGUACCUAAUCAGAAAGCCACGGCUAACUACGUG
rnacentral:rRNA from 1 species